rnacentral:ncRNA from 1 species
GCGUGAGGUCGAUGGUUCGAGUCCAUUUAGGCCCACCAUCUCCCAAGGCUAAAUACUCCCUAGUGACCGAUAGUGAACCAGUACCGUGAGGGAAAGGUGAAAAGCACCCCGGGAGGGGAGUGAAAGAGAACCUGAAACCGUGUGC